GAAACGACUGCUAAGACUGGAUAGGAAAUUAGAAGGCAUCUUUUAAUUUUUAAAAGACCUUUUUCGAAAGGUAUACUUAAGGAGGGGCUUGCGGCACAUUAGUUAGUUGGUAGGGUAAAAGCCUACCAAGACCAUGAUGUGUAGCUGGACUGAGAGGUUGAACAGCCACAUUGGGACUGAGACACGGCCCAAACUCCUACGGGAGGCAGCAGUAGGGAAUUUUCGGCAAUGGAGGAAACUCUGACCGAGCAACGCCGCGUGAACGAUGAAGUAUUUCGGUAUGUAAAGUUCUUUUAUUGAAGAAGAAAAAAUAGUGGAAAAACUAUCUUGACGAUAUUCAAUGAAUAAGCCCCGGCAAACUAUGUGCCAGCAGCCGCGGUAAUACAUAGGGGGCGAGCGUUAUCCGGAAUUAUUGGGCGUAAAGGGUGCGUAGGCGGUUUGGUAAGUCUAUAGUUUAAUUUCAGUGCUUAACACUGUUCUGCUAUAGAAACUAUCAGACUAGGGUGAGAUAGAGGCAAGUGGAAUUCCAUGCGUAGCGGUAAAAUGCGUAAAUAUAUGGAGGAACACCGGAGGCGUAGGCGGCUUGCUGGGUCUUUACUGACGCUGAGGCACGAAAGCGUGGGGAGCAAACAGGAUUAGAUACCCUGGUAGUCCACGCCGUAAACGAUGAGUACUAAGUGUCGGGGAAACUCGGUACCGAAGUUAACACAUUAAGUACUCCGCCUGAGUAGUACGUACGCAAGUAUGAAACUUAAAGGAAUUGACGGGACUCCGCACAAGCGGUGGAUCAUGUUGUUUAAUUCGAAGAUACACGAAAAACCUUACCAGGUCUUGGCAUACUCUGCAAAGCUAUAGCAAUAUAGUGGAGGUUAUCAGGGAUACAGGUGGUGCAUGGUUGUCGUCAGCUCGUGUCGUGAGAUGUUAGGUUAAGUCCUAAACGAGCGCAACCCUUGUCACUAGUUGCCAGCAUGUUAUGAUGGGCACUUUAGUGAGACUGCCAAUGAAAAAUUGGAGGAAGGUGAGGAUCACGUCAAAUCAUCAUGCCCCUUAUGAUCUGGGCUACAAACGUGAUACAAUGGCUGUUACAAAGAGUAGCUAAAACGCGAGUUUAUAGCCAAUCUCAUAAAAGCAGUCUCAGUUCGGAUUGAAGUCUGCAACUCGACUUCAUGAAGUUGGAAUCGCUAGUAAUCGCGAAUCAGCAUGUCGCGGUGAAUACGUUCUCGGGGUUUGUACACACGGCCCGUCAA
rnacentral:rRNA from 1 species